UAUUGCUUAGAAGGUUGGAUGAGCUCACAGCCCACC
rnacentral:sRNA from 1 species